rnacentral:rRNA from 1 species
AGAGUUUGAUCCUGGCUCAGGAUGAACGCUAGCGGCAGGCCUAAUACAUGCAAGUCGAACGGUAAAAGUCCCCUUCGGGGGAUUGAGAGUGGCGCACGGGUGCGUAACGCGUAUGCAACCAACCCUCGUCCGGGGGACAGCCCGGUGGAAACGCCGGGUAAUACCCCAUGCCGACCUUAGGGGCAUCCCCUGGGGUUGAAAGAUUUCGGUCGGACGGGACGGGCAUGCGUCCCAUUAGCUAGUUGGCGGGGCGACGGGCCCACCAAGGCGACGAUGGUAGGGGAUCUGAGAGGACGGUCCCCCACACUGGUACUGAGACACGGACCAGACUCCUACGGGAGGCAGCAGUAAGGAAUAUUGGGCAAUGGGGGAACCCUGACCCAGCCAUGCCGCGUGAGGGAAGUAGGCCCUACGGGUCGUGAACCUCUUUUGUCGGGGACAACCCGCGCCACGUGAUGGCGCGCUGCGGGUACCCGGCGAAUAAGCAUCGGCUAACUCCGUGCC